AAUAGUGUGCUUGAUAAAAAGACCGUCUUGAUAGGGCGGAAAAUGAGACAUUAGCCCCUCCACUAUUA
rnacentral:tRNA from 1 species